AACGAACGCUGGCGGCAUGCCUAACACAUGCAAGUCGAACGAGCCCUUCGGGGUUAGUGGCGCACGGGUGCGUAACGCGUGGGAAUCUGCCCUUGGGUUCGGAAUAACAGUGAGAAAUUACUGCUAAUACCGGAUGAUGUCUUCGGACCAAAGAUUUAUCGCCCAAGGAUGAGCCCGCGUAGGAUUAGCUAGUUGGUGGGGUAAUGGCCUACCAAGGCGACGAUCCUUAGCUGGUCUGAGAGGAUGAUCAGCCACACUGGGACUGAGACACGGCCCAGAAUCCUACGGGAGGCAGCAGUGGGGAAUAUUGGACAAUGGGCGAAAGCCUGAUCCAGCAAGGCCGGGUGAGUGAUGAAGGCCUUAGGGUUGUAAAGCUCUUUUACCCGGGAUGAUAAUGACAGUACCGGGAGAAUAAGCUCCGGCUAACUCCGUG
rnacentral:rRNA from 1 species